CAACAGACAAGAACAAAACAUCAUGCUUGCAUCAUUGGCUCAUUGCUGGUACGGAGAGUGCCAUUACAUGCAUCAUUUUGCAUUACAAAAUACAAAUGAUGGAGCCCUCUAAAUUAUUAAGAACAUCCUAAUUAAGACGAAGCAGUACAAACCCUAGAAAAUUAAGCAUGCUCGUGCAGCUGGUAGCCUAAAAAUGACGGGACCAAUCCAUCCAUGUCGAUAAAAUCUACUGGAUUUAAU
rnacentral:lncRNA from 1 species